GCGGAAGUAGCUCAGGUUGGUAGAGCAUCUCCUUGCCAAGGAGAAGGUCGCGGGUUCGAGUCCCGUCUUCCGCUCCA
rnacentral:tRNA from 1 species